UAGGGAAUCUUCGGCAAUGGGGGGAACCCUGACCGAGCAACGCCGCGUGAGUGAAGAAGGUUUUCGGAUCGUAAAGCUCUGUUGUUAAGGAAGAACGAGUGUGAGAAUGGAAAGUUCAUGCUGUGACGGUACUUAACCAGAAAGGGACGGCUAACUACGUGCCAGCAGCCGCGGUAAUACGUAGGUCCCGAGCGUUGUCCGGAUUUAUUGGGCGUAAAGCGAGCGCAGGCGGUUAGAAAAGUCUGAAGUGAAAGGCAGUGGCUCAACCAUUGUAGGCUUUGGAAGCUGUUUAACUUGAGUGCAGAAGGGGAGAGUGGAAUUCCAUGUGUAGCGGUGAAAUGCGUAGAUAUAUGGAGGAACACCAGUGGCGAAGGCGACUCUCUGGUCUGUAACUGACGCUGAGGCUCGAAAGCGUGGGUAGCAAACAGG
rnacentral:rRNA from 1 species